rnacentral:rRNA from 1 species
CCUACGGGAGGCAGCAGUGAGGAAUAUUGGUCAAUGGCCGUAAGGCUGAACCAGCCAAGUCGCGUGAAGGAAGAAGGAUCUAUGGUUUGUAAACUUCUUUUAUAGGGGAAUAAAGGUAUCCACGUGUGGCUAUUUGCAUGUACCCUAUGAAUAAGCAUCGGCUAACUCCGUUCCAGCAGCCGCGGUAAUACGGAGGAUGCGAGCGUUAUCCGGAUUUAUUGGGUUUAAAGGGUGCGUAGGUUGUUUUUUAAGUCAGCGGUGAAAGUUUGUGGCUCAACCAUAAAAUUGCCGUUGAAACUGGAAGACUGGAGUGUGUUUGAGGUAGGCGGAAUGCGGGGGGAAGCGGUGAAAUGCAUAGAAAUCA